AAAACUUUCAACAACGGAUCUCUUGGUUCUGGCAUCGAUGAAGAACGCAGCGAAAUGCGAUAAGUAAUGUGAAUUGCAGAAUUCAGUGAAUCAUCGGAUCUUUGAACGCACAUUGCGCCCCUUGGUAUUCCGAGGGGCAUGCCUGUUCGAGCGUCAU
rnacentral:rRNA from 1 species